UACGGAGGGGGCAAGCGUUGUUCGGAAUUAUUGGGCGUAAAGAGUAUGUAGGCGGCUAGAUAAGUCAGACGUGUAAGCCCAUGGCUCAACCAUGGAAUUGCGUUUGAAACUAUUUAGCUUGAGUGCAGGAGAGGAAAGCGGAAUUCCCAGUGUAGCGGUGAAAUGCAUUGAUAUUGGGAAGAACACCGGUGGCGAAGGCGGCUUUCUGGUCUGUUACUGACGCUGAGAUACGAAAGCCAGGGGAGCAAAGGGG
rnacentral:rRNA from 1 species